rnacentral:rRNA from 1 species
UAGGGAAUCUUCGGCAAUGGACGAAAGUCUGACCGGGCAACGCCGCGUGAGUGAAGAAGGUUUUCGGAUCGUAAAACUCUGUUGUUAGAGAAGAACAAGGACGUUAGUAACUGAACGUCCCCUGACGGUAUCUAACCAGAAAGCCACGGCUAACUACGUGCCAGCAGCCGCGGUAAGACGUAGGUGGCAAGCGUUGUCCGGAUUUAUUGGGCGUAAAGCGAGCGCAGGCGGUUUCUUAAGUCUGAUGUGAAAGCCCCCGGCUCAACCGGGGAGGGUCAUUGGAAGCUGGGAGACUUGAGUGCAGAAGAGGAGGGUGGAAUUCCAUGUGUAGCGGUGAAAUGCGUAGAUAUAUGGAGGAAAACCAGUGGCGAAGGCGGCUCUCUGGUCUGUAACUGACGCUGAGGCUCGAAAGCGUGGGGAGCAAACAGG